UACGUUCCCGGGCCUUGUACACACCGCCCGUCACACCACGAAAGUCGGCAACACCCGAAGCCGGUGGCCCAACCCGCAAGGGAGGGAGCCGUCGAAGGUGGGGUUGGUGAUUGGGGUG
rnacentral:rRNA from 1 species